rnacentral:rRNA from 1 species
UACGGGAGGCAGCAGUGAGGAGUAUUGGUCAAUGGACGAGAGUCUGAACCAGCCAAGUAGCGUGCAGGAUGACGGCCCUAUGGGUUGUAAACUGCUUUUAUAAGGGAAUAAAGUGAGUCUCGUGAGACUUUUUGCAUGUACCUUAUGAAUAAGGACCGGCUAAUUCCGUGCCAGCAGCCGCGGUAAUACGGAAGGUCCGGGCGUUAUCCGGAUUUAUUGGGUUUAAAGGGAGCGUAGGCCGGAGAUUAAGCGUGUUGUGAAAUGUAGACGCUCAACGUCUGCACUGCAGCGCGAACUGGUUUCCUUGAGUACGCACAAAGUGGGCGGAAUUCGUGGUGUAGCGGUGAAAUGCUUAGAUAUCACGAAGAACUCCGAUUGCGAAGGCAGCUCACUGGAGCGCAACUGACGCUGAAGCUCGAAAGUGCGGGUAUCGAACAGGAUUAGAUACCCUGGUAGUCCGCACGGUAAACGAUGGAUGCCCGCUGUUGGUCUGAAUAGGUCAGCGGCCAAGCGAAAGCAUUAAGCAUCCCACCUGGGG